UCCGCAAUGGACGAAAGUCUGACGGAGCAACGCCGCGUGAGUGAUGACGGCCUUCGGGUUGUAAAGCUCUGUUAAUCGGGACGAAAGGCCUUCUUGCGAACAGUUAGAAGGAUUGACGGUACCGGAAUAGAAAGCCACGGCUAACUACGUGCCAGCAGCCGCGGUAAUACGUAGGUGGCAAGCGUUGUCCGGAAUUAUUGGGCGUAAAGCGCGCGCAGGCGGAUCAGUCAGUCUGUCUUAAAAGUUCGGGGCUUAACCCCGUGAUGGGAUGGAAACUGCUGAUCUAGAGUAUCGGAGAGGAAAGUGGAAUUCCUAGUGUAGCGGUGAAAUGCGUAGAUAUUAGGAAGAACACCAGUGGCGAAGGCGACUUUCUGGACGAAAACUGACGCUGAGGCGCGAAAGCCAGGGGAGCGAACGGGAUUAGAUACCCCGGUAGUCCUGGCCGUAAACGAUGGGGUACUAGGUGUAGGAAGUAUCGACCCCUUCUGUGCCGGAGUUAACGCAUAGUACCCCGCCUGGGGAGUACGACCGCAAGGUUGAAACUCAAAGGAAUUGACGGGGGCCC
rnacentral:rRNA from 1 species